rnacentral:rRNA from 1 species
AGCGAACGCUGGCGGCAGGCCUAACACAUGCAAGUCGAACGAAGUCUUCGGACUUAGUGGCGGACGGGUGAGUAACACGUGGGAACGUACCUUUUGGUUCGGAACAACUCAGGGAAACUUGAGCUAAUACCGGAUAAGCCCUUCGGGGGAAAGAUUUAUCGCCAUUAGAGCGGCCCGCGUUAGAUUAGCUAGUUGGUGAGGUAAAGGCUCACCAAGGCUACGAUCUAUAGCUGGUCUGAGAGGAUGAUCAGCCACACUGGGACUGAGACACGGCCCAGACUCCUACGGGAGGCAGCAGUGGGGAAUCUUGCGCAAUGGGCGAAAGCCUGACGCAGCCAUGCCGCGUGAAUGAUGAAGGUCUUAGGAUUGUAAAAUUCUUUUACCAGGGACGAUAAUGACGGUCCUGGAGAAAAAGCCCCGGCUAACUUCGUGCCAGCAGCCGCCGCCG